rnacentral:tRNA from 1 species
CGGGGUGUAGCGCAGUUGGCUUAGCGCGCAGCGUUCGGGUCGCUGAGGCCCCCGGUUCAAGUCCGGGCACCCCGACCA